rnacentral:sRNA from 1 species
ACAUUUGCAGUUACAUUAAGUAAAGUGUAAAUGCACAUGAAUGGCAGCUUAUAGAGAACCACCUUGUAACCAGUAUACGGGUACAUCUACAGCUCUUCAGAAAUUGGAAGGUUUUGCUAGCCGGUUAUUUCAUAGACACUCUAAAGGUACUGCACAUGAUCAGAAAACAGCUCUGCAAAAUGACAGCCUUCAUUUCUCUGAACAUACUGCCUUAUGGGACAGAUCAACAAAGAUCUAUUUCAAGCCAACUGUUUCCUCCUCGGUAGAGAAGCAUUUGACAACUUUUUUUUAAAUUGAGUGAAAGAGUUUCUAGCCAAAGCCAAAGAAGACUUUUUGAAAAAAUGGGAGAAUCCAACUCAGAAUAAUGCCGGACUUGAAGAUUUUGAAAGGAAAAAAACCCUUGGAACAGGUUCAUUUGGAAGAGUCAUGUUGGUAAAACACAAAGCCACUGAACAGUAUUAUGCCAUGAAGAUCUUAGAUAAGCAGAAGGUUGUUAAACUGAAGCAAAUAGAGCAUACUUUGAAUGAGAAAAGAAUAUUACAGGCAGUGAAUUUUCCUUUCCUUGUUCGACUGGAGUAUGCUUUUAAGGAUAAUUCUAAUUUAUACAUGGUUAUGGAAUAUGUCCCUGGGGGUGAAAUGUUUUCACAUCUAAGACGAAUUGGAAGGUUCAGUGAGCCCCAUGCAAGGUUCUAUGCAGCUCAGAUAGUGCUAACAUUCGAGUACCUCCAUUCACUAGACCUCAUCUACAGAGA